AUGACUAAAAUGAGAUUCUUCUUUAAAAUGCACGUCUCUUGGAAAAUAUCUUCUUCAACACUUUACAAACAGCUCUGGCUUGCACCACCCACCAAGAGCAUUGCUGGUUGUCUGCUGAUCAUCCAGCUUGAAUAUCCAAGAGCUGUAUUCAACAACAUAGUCCACAGCCUCUUCCCAGUGUCAUUCAGGAGCUCAUGGUCUGUCUGCCCUGAUGUUCCUGAUAUUGAUACAGAUGCUUCUUCUACCUAG
rnacentral:lncRNA from 1 species